CCCUUAGAGUUUGAUCCUGGCUCAGGAUGAACGCUAGCUACAGGCUUAACACAUGCAAGUCGAGGGGAAACGAUAUUGGAAGCUUGCUUCCGAUAGGCGUCGACCGGCGCACGGGUGAGUAACGCGUAUCCAACCUGCCCAUCACUUGGGGAUAACCUUGCGAAAGUAAGACUAAUACCCAAUGACGUCUCUAGAAGACAUCUGAAAGAGAUUAAAGAUUUAUCGGUGAUGGAUGGGGAUGCGUCUGAUUAGCUUGUUGGCGGGGUAACGGCCCACCAAGGCGACGAUCAGUAGGGGUUCUGAGAGGAAGGUCCCCCACAUUGGAACUGAGACACGGUCCAAACUCCUACGGGAGGCAGCAGUGAGGAAUAUUGGUCAAUGGGCGAGAGCCUGAACCAGCCAAGUAGCGUGCAGGAUGACGGCCCUAUGGGUUGUAAACUGCUUUUAUAAGGGAAUAAAGUGAGCCUCGUGAGGCUUUUUGCAUGUACCUUAUGAAUAAGGACCGGCUAAUUCCGUGCCAGCAGCCGCGGUAAUACGGAAGGUCCGGGCGUUAUCCGGAUUUAUUGGGUUUAAAGGGAGCGUAGGCCGGAGAUUAAGCGUGUUGUGAAAUGUAGACGCUCAACGUCUGCACUGCAGCGCGAACUGGUUUCCUUGAGUACGCACAAAGUGGGCGGAAUUCGUGGUGUAGCGGUGAAAUGCUUAGAUAUCACGAAGAACUCCGAUUGCGAAGGCAGCUCACUGGAGCGCAACUGACGCUGAAGCUCGAAAGUGCGGGUAUCGAACAGGAUUAGAUACCCUGGUAGUCCGCACGGUAAACGAUGGAUGCCCGCUGUUGGUCUGAAUAGGUCAGCGGCCAAGCGAAAGCAUUAAGCAUCCCACCUGGGGAGUACGCCGGCAA
rnacentral:rRNA from 1 species